rnacentral:hammerhead_ribozyme from 1 species
AUCCAGCAGACCAGUCCCAAAUAGGACGAAAUGCGCGUCCUGGAU